AAUUACUAAAAUGCACCUUUCUCAGAACUGUAAAUUCUCUGAAACACCCUCGCUCAUUACAAAAAUAUCAUCUUGUUUCCGCAGAAAAUCUUCUAGGGAUAUCGCAGGUAUUUGGGGAUGGUGGAGGGUGGCGAAGGGGAUAAAGUAAUUUAGGAGAGAGCGGGAGAGAGAGACGGUGGUGGCUUAUCGUCUACUUCCCCGGGCAGUUUGUACGGCUGAUUUCUGUGGUGACCGGAGCAAUUCGAGGGAGAAAGUAGUACUGCUGUGAGCCAUGGUCAGUCUAAGGAGACGAAGACUAAUGGGACUAUGUUCUGGGAAAAGCUCUAUUCCAGUUGAGUUGACAAGCUCCACUGAGAAUAAUGGUGCUGUGAACCUUAACAGAAAUGUAAAUCCUUUCAGCAUUC